rnacentral:rRNA from 1 species
UACGUAGGUGACCAGCGUUGUCCGGAUUUACUGGGCGUAAAGAGCGCGCAGGCGGUCGUUCAAGUCGAGUGUGAAAGCCCCCGGCUCAACUGGGGAGGGUCAUUCGAUACUGAUCGACUCGAAGGCAGGAGAGGGAAGUGGAAUUCCCGGUGUAGUGGUGAAAUGCGUAGAUAUCGGGAGGAACACCAGUGGCGAAGGCGACUUCCUGGCCUGUUCUUGACGCUGAGGCGCGAAAGCUAGGGGAGCAAGCGGG